UGAACGUCAAAAUUGACCCUGCUGUUAAAGCUUGAAACUUGGAUCUGUUGUAUCUGAGUUCUCUCCUCAAAAAAAGACCUUCAGGAAGUAUCAGAUAACUGAAACAUACCAGAUCACAGCACCACAUGCCUCCUGCCCCUCCCUAAUUUCUGUUCUCUUAUACAUUGUUAAAUUUUUUUCCUGCCCCUAUUAGUCAAGCCCAUGGAUUUGAGACUGAGCUCCCAGCUCCUGGGCCGCAGCACCAGGUUAAAGCUUUCUUCCUUGGCAGUACUUGUCACCUCAGUGACUGGCUUUUUCUCCGAUGAGCAGGAGGACCUGGACGAAACCCCUAGUGUUUGGUCAAGGAACUUGAUGCUCCCUAAAUCCAAAUAUUACGGUUAAAAGAAGAGAGAGGAAAUGUGUGCAGAGAAAGUGUAUUUUACAAAUGAAUUAAAGGUGGAUUCUGAGUUACAGGUUUAUAGAUUUACCUAGAGUUUUGAGUUCAGGAAGCCAUCAUUCUUUAGAGGGCAAUGACCAAACAGUACCAGCAGAAAUUGAAGUACCAGCAGAAGGCUAAGAAGGGAUCAUGGCACAAGCUGCAGUUUCCACCCUGCCCAUUGAAGAUGAGGAGUCCAGAUGAGGAGUCCGUUGAAGAUGAGUCCGCAGAGAACAGGAUGGUGGUGACAUUGCUCAUAUCAGCUCUUGAGUCCAUGGAUCAUGGCACAAGUUGCAGUUUCCACCCUGCCCAUUGAAGAUGAGGAGUUUGUUGAAGAUGAGGAGUCCUUGGAGAGCAGGAUGGUGGUGACAUUCCUAAUGUCAGCUCUCGAGUCCACGGUCAGACCUUCUGUUCUCACAUUCUGUAGUUUGGUAGGACUGGGCAGUAGAUAAGGUUGAUUUAUUUUUGUAGAACUUACAAUUUUAUGAUUUUCAGUUGUAAUGAGUAGACCUUUUUCGUGAAUAGUAGUUAUGGUUAAACACCUCUAACCAAA
rnacentral:lncRNA from 10 species